rnacentral:rRNA from 1 species
UACGAAGGGUGCAAACGUUGCUCGGAAUUAUUGGGCGUAAAGCGCACGUAGGCGGCUCUAUAAGUCGGAUGUGAAAUCCCUCGGCUUAACCAAGGAAGUGCAUCCGAAACUGUGGAGCUUGAGUACUUAAGAGGAUCGCGGAGUUCCCGGUGUAGAGGUGAAAUGCGUAGAGAUGUGGAGGAACACCAGUGGCGAAGGCGGCUCUUUGGUCUGUAACUGACGCUGAGGCGCGAAAGCGUGGGGAUCAAACAGG